CGGGAUGAGUAAAGUGGCGCACGGGUGAGUAACGCGUGGAUAAUCUACCUGCCAGACGAGGGAUUUCGGUUGGAAACGGCCGCUAAUACCGGAUACGCUAUAUAUUAUAACGUUAUAUAGGAAAUGAUAGCCUCUGCUUGCAAGCUAUUGCUUGAAGAUGAGUCCGCGUCCCAUUAGCUAGUUGGUGAGGUAAAAGCUCACCAAGGCAACGAUGGGUAGCCGUUCUAAGAGGAUGAUCGGCCACACUGGAACUGGAACACGGUCCAGACUCCUACGGGAGGCACCAGUGGGGAAUAUUGCGCAAUGGGCGAAAGCCUGACGCAACGACACCGCGUGAGGGAUGAAUGUCUUCGGAUCGUAAACCUCUGUCAGAGGGGAAGAAGUGUGUCUAUUCAAAUAGGGUAGGCAUUUGACGGUACCCUCAAAGGAAGCACCGGCUAACUCCGUGCCAGCAGCCGCGGUAAUACGGAGGGUGCGAGCGUUAAUCGGAAUUACUGGGCGUAAAGCGCACGUAGGUGGUUUUGUAAGUCAGGGGUGAAAUCCCACCGCUCAACUGUGGAACAGCCUUUGAUACUGCAUCACUAGAGUAUCGGAGAGGGUGGCGGAAUUCCAGGUGUAGGAGUGAAAUCCGUAGAUAUUUGGAGGAACACCGGUGGCGAAGGCGGCCACCUGGUCGAAAACUGACACUGAGUUGCGAAAGCAUGGGGAGCAAAACAGGAUUAGAUACCCUGGUAGUCCAUGCUGUAAACGAUGGGUGCUAGGUGCUGGGGAGAUAAAUUUUCAGUGCCGUAGUUAACGCGUUAAGCACCCCGCCUGGGGAGUACGGUCGCAAGGCUGAAACUCAAAGAAAUUGACGGGGGCCCGCACAAGCGGUGGAGUAUGUGGUUUAAUUCGAUGCAACGCGAAGAACCUUACCCAGGCUUGACAUCCAGGGGACCUCUAGGAAAUUAGAGGGUGCCAUUCGGGGAGCCCUGAGACAGGUGCUGCAUGGCUGUCGUCAGCUCGUGCCGUGAGGUGUUGGGUUAAGUCCCGCAACGAGCGCAACCCUUAUCUUUAGUUGCCAGCGAGUAAAGUUGGGCACUCUAGAGAGACUGCCCCGGUUAACGGGGAGGAAGGUGGGGAUGAUGUCAAGUCAUCAUGGCCCUUACGCUUGGGGCUACACACGUACUACAAUGGUGCGCACAAAGGGAAGCAAGCCCGUGAGGUGGAGCCAAUCCCAAAAAACGCAUCUCAGUCCGG
rnacentral:rRNA from 1 species